UACGGAGGGUGCGAGCGUUGUCCGGAAUCACUGGGCGUAAAGGGCGCGUAGGCGGCCUGAUAAGUAGGGGGUGAAAUCCUGCGGCUUAACCGCAGGGCUGCCUUCUAAACUGUCAGGCUCGAGCACAGUAGAGGCAGGUGGAAUUCCCGGUGUAGCGGUGGAAUGCGUAGAGAUCCGGAAGAACACCGGUGGCGAAGGCGGUCUGCUGGGCAGUAGCUGCACUGAGGCGCGACAGCGUGGGGAGCGAACGAGG
rnacentral:rRNA from 1 species